rnacentral:rRNA from 1 species
UCCCAGACUCCUACGGGAGGCAGCAGUGAGGAAUAUUGGUCAAUGGGCUUACGCCUGAACCAGCCAAGUCGCGUGAGGGAAGACUGCCCUAUGGGUUGUAAACCUCUUUUGUCAGGGAGCAACGCCGGCUACGUGUAGCCGGACUGAGAGUACCUGAAGAAAAAGCACCGGCUAACUCCGUGCCAGCAGCCGCGGUAAUACGGGGGGUGCAAGCGUUGUCCGGAAUCAUUGGGCGUAAAGCGUUCGUAGGCGGUAUGUCAAGUCUGAUGUUAAAGCCCGGGGCUCAACUCCGGUUCGGCAUUGGAUACUGGCAAACUAGAAUGUGGUAGAGGUAAAGGGAAUUCCUGGUGUAGCGGUGAAAUGCGUAGAUAUCAGGAGGAACAUCGGUGGCGAAAGCGCUUUACUGGACCAUUAUUGACGCUGAGGAACGAAAGCCAGGGGAGCAAAUGGGAUUAGAUACCCGAGUAA